UUAUUUUUAGUUUAAAUAAAACUUCAAGUUUUCGUCUUGAGGAUGUGAUUAUUCACAAGAUAAA
rnacentral:tRNA from 1 species